CGCCUACGGGAGGCUGCAGUGGGGAAUAUUGCACAAUGGGCGAAAGCCUGAUGCAGCAACGCCGCGUGAGUGAUGACGGCCUUCGGGUUGUAAAGCUCUGUCUUUUGGGACGAUAAUGACGGUACCAAAGGAGGAAGCCACGGCUAACUACGUGCCAGCAGCCGCGGUAAUACGUAGGUGGCAAGCGUUGUCCGGAUUUACUGGGCGUAAAGGAUGCGUAGGUGGAUAUUUAAGUGGGAUGUGAAAUACCCGGGCUCAACUUGGGUGCUGCAUUCCAAACUGGAUAUCUAGAGUGCAGGAGAGGUAAGUGGAAUUCCUAGUGUAGCGGUGAAAGGCGUAGAGAUUAGGAAGAACACCAGUGGCGAAGGCGACUUACUGGACUGUAACUGACACUGAGGCAUGAAAGCGUGGGGAGCAAACAGGAUUAGAUACCCCUGUAGUCGAG
rnacentral:rRNA from 1 species